rnacentral:rRNA from 1 species
CUGGUCCUACGGGGGGCAGCAGUGAGGAAUAUUGGUCAAUGGACGAGAGUCUGAACCAGCCAAGUAGCGUGAAGGAUGACUGCCCUAUGGGUUGUAAACUUCUUUUAUAAAGGAAUAAAACGAGGCACGUGUGCCUUUUUGCAUGUACUUUAUGAAUAAGGAUCGGCUAACUCCGUGCCAGCAGCCGCGGUAAUACGGAGGAUGCGAGCGUUAUCCGGAUUUAUUGGGUUUAAAGGGUGCGUAGGCGGAACAUUAAGUCAGCGGUAAAAUCGAGGGGCUCAACCCCUUUAAGCCGUUGAAACUGG